GGCUUAACACAUGCAAGUCGAGCGGUAACAGAGAUAGCUUGCUAUCUGCUGACGAGCGGCGGACGGGUGAGUAACGCGUAGGAAUCUACCUAGUAGUGGGGGACAACAGUUGGAAACGACUGCUAAUACCGCAUACGCCCUAAGGGGGAAAGCAGGGGAUCUUCGGACCUUGCGCUAUUAGAUGAGCCUGCGUCGGAUUAGCUAGUUGGUGGGGUAAUGGCCUACCAAGGCGACGAUCCGUAGCUGGUCUGAGAGGAUGAUCAGCCACACUGGGACUGAGACACGGCCCAGACUCCUACGGGAGGCAGCAGUGGGGAAUAUUGCACAAUGGGCGCAAGCCUGAUGCAGCCAUGCCGCGUGUGUGAAGAAGGCUCUAGGGUUGUAAAGCACUUUCAGAAGGGAGGAAAGGUUGUAAGUUAAUACCUUGCAACUGUGACGUUACCUUCAGAAGAAGCACCG
rnacentral:rRNA from 1 species